rnacentral:rRNA from 1 species
GACGAACGCUGGCGGCGUGCUUAACACAUGCCAGUCGAACGGAAAGGCCCUGCUUUUGUGGGGUGCUCGAGUGGCGAACGGGUGAGUAACACGUGAGUAACCUGCCCUUGACUUUGGGAUAACUUCAGGAAACUGGGGCUAAUACCGGAUAGGAGCUCCUGCUGCAUGGUGGGGGUUGGAAAGUUUCGGCGGUUGGGGAUGGACUCGCGGCUUAUCAGCUUGUUGGUGGGGUAGUGGCUUACCAAGGCUUUGACGGGUAGCCGGCCUGAGAGGGUGACCGGCCACAUUGGGACUGAGAUACGGCCCAGACUUCUACGGGAGGCAGCAGUGGGGAAUAUUGCACAAUGGGCGGAAGCCUGAUGCAGCAACGCCGCGUGCGGGAUGACGGCCUUCGGGUUGUAAACCGCUUUCGCCUGUGACGAAGCGUGAGUGACGGUAAUGGGUAAAGAAGCACCGGCUAACUACG